GAUGAACGCUGGCGGCGUGCCUAAUACAUGCAAGUCGAGCGAACGGACGAGAAGCUUGCUUCUCUGAUGUUAGCGGCGGACGGGUGAGUAACACGUGGAUAACCUACCUAUAAGACUGGGAUAACUUCGGGAAACCGGAGCUAAUACCGGAUAAUAUUUUGCACCGCAUGGUUCAAAAGUGAAAGACGGUCUUGCUGUCACUUAUAGAUGGAUCCGCGCUGCAUUAGCUAGUUGGUAAGGUAACGGCUUACCAAGGCAACGAUGCAUAGCCGACCGGAGAGGGUGAUCGGCCACACUGGAACUGGGACACGGUCCAGACUCCUACGGGAGGCAGCAGUAGGGAAUCUUCCGCAAUGGGCGAAAGCCUGACGGAGCAACGCCGCGUGAGUGAUGAAGGUCUUCGGAUCGUAAAACUCUGUUAUUAGGGAAGAACAUAUGUGUAAGUAACUGUGCACAUCUUGACGGUACCUAAUCAGAAAGCCACGGCUAACUACGUG
rnacentral:rRNA from 1 species